GCGUGAGUGAAGAAGCUUCGGUUGUAAAGCUCUUUCGGCCGGGAAGAAUCGUGUUCUCUAACAUAGGGCAUGGAUGACGGUACCGGACUAAGAAGCACCGGCUAACUACGUGCCAGCAGCCGCGGUAAUACGUAGGGUGCGAGCGUUAAUCGGAAUUACUGGGCGUAAAGCGUGCGCAGGCGGUUUUGUAAGACAGAUGUGAAAUCCCCGGGCUUAACCUGGGAACUGCGUUUGUGACUGCAAGGCUAGAGUACGGCAGAGGGGGGUGGAAUUCCUGGUGUAGCAGUGAAAUGCGUAGAGAUCAGGAGGAACACCGAUGGCGAAGGCAGCCCCCUGGGCCUGUACUGACGCUCAUGCACGAAAGCGUGGGGAGCAAACAGGAUUAGAUACCCUGGUAGUCCACGCCCUAAACGAUGUCGACUAGUCGUUCGGAGCAGCAAUGCACUGAGUGACGCAGCUAACGCGUGAAGUCGACCGCCUGGGGAGUACGGCCGCAAGGUUAAAAACUCAAAAGGAAUUGACGGGG
rnacentral:rRNA from 1 species